CAGGCCGUAGCGCAGCCCGGUAGCGCACUUCCUUGGGGUGGAAGGGGUCGCGGGUUCAAAUCCCGCCGGCCUGA
rnacentral:tRNA from 1 species